AUUGAACGCUGGCGGCAGGCCUAACACAUGCACGUCGAACGAGUGGCGGACGGGUGAGUAAUGUCUGGGAACCUGCCUGAUGGAGGGGGAUACCUACUGGAAACGGUCGCUAAUACCGCAUAACAUCAGAUGUGCCCAGCUGGGAUUAGCUUGUUGGUGGGGUAACGGCUCACCAAGGCGACGAUCACUAGCUGGUCGGAGAGGAUGACCAGCAAAACUGGAACUGAGACACGUUCCAGACGCCUACGCGAGGAAGCAGUGGGGAAUAUUGCACAAUGGGCGCAAGCCUGAUGCAGCCAUGCAGCGUGUAUGAAGAAGGCCUUCGGGUUGUAAAGUACUUUCAGCGGGGAGGCGUUACCCGCAGAAGAAGCACCGGCUAACUCCGUGCCAGCAGCCGCGGUAAUAC
rnacentral:rRNA from 1 species